GUAGGGCGGGACACGUGGUAUCCUGUCUGAAUAUGGGGGGACCAUCCUCCAAGGCUAAAUACUCCUGACUGACCGAUAGUGAACCAGUACCGUGAGGGAAAGGCGAAAAGAACCCCGGCGAGGGGAGUGAAAAAGAACCUGAAACCGUGUACGUACAAGCAGUGGGAGCACGCUUAGGCGUGUGACUGCGUACCUUUUGUAUAAUGGGUCAGCGACUUAUAUUCUGUAGCAAGGUUAACCGAAUAGGGGAGCCGAAGGGAAACCGAGUCUUAACUGGGCGUUAAGUUGCAGGGUAUAGACCCGAAACCCGGUGAUCUAGCCAUGGGCAGGUUGAAGGUUGGGUAACACUAACUGGAGGACCGAACCGACUAAUGUUGAAAAAUUAGCGGAUGACUUGUGGCUGGGGGUGAAAGGCCAAUCAAACCGGGAGAUAGCUGGUUCUCCCCGAAAGCU
rnacentral:rRNA from 1 species